UACGUAGGGUCCGAGCGUUGUCCGGAAUUACUGGGCGUAAAGAGCUCGUAGGUGGUUUGUCGCGUUGUUCGUGAAAACUCACAGCUUAACUGUGGGCGUGCGGGCGAUACGGGCAGACUAGAGUGAUGUAGGGGAGACUGGAAUUCCUGGUGUAGCGGUGAAAUGCGCAGAUAUCAGGAGGAACACCGGUGGCGAAGGCGGGUCUCUGGGCCGAUACUGACGCUGAGGAGCGAAAGCGUGGGGAGCGAACAGG
rnacentral:rRNA from 1 species